CCCUAAGUGUAGAGGGUGCAGCUCUUCAGCCAGGCUGAGAUCCUGAAAGACAAAGAAAGGCAGAGAGGGUCCUUGUUGCCACUUCUUUUUUGGCUCAGGCUCUGGCCGUGAUCAACUGCUUCCGGGAGGAAGCGACCCUAUUCACCCCAGCGGGCUGAUGAGAAGAUAUGAAAAGCACUUGGAAAGGAGAAACAUUUGCUUUUCAAGAGAACCCUUUCCUGAGUAGCGCUCCCUCGUAGGCUGUUGUACAGUGGGCCGUGCGAGGCCUCCGUCUUGGAUAUCCCUCGGCCGUUCUCCUCUCCCUUUGCCAGUCAUUGCACCUGGUGCUCAUGGGAUGGCUCGUACAUGAGGCUGGACGGCAUGCCAUUGGGCUCAUUGUGAUUUCAUGCCUUUCAUCUCAACCACGCAGCGGUAAGUUCGUGGAAGACCAGCUCCACGUCUUGAAGACUACUGUAUAUCAAGCAUCUAGCACAGCACAUGGAAAAAAGCAGGCUCCGUAUCUGCCACUUGCUCUUUGCUGAACCUGGCCCUUGCUUCUGUUUGGCCACACUUUGCCCCUCUGUUAGGAAGUCCUUCUCAGGGUUCCUCUGUCCUUUUCUACUUUCCCGCACCUUCUCUGCUCCCCUCAUUCUCUCCUACCUCCCUCUCUUCUUCACCCCGUCCUUUAAAAACUUCCCUCAGAGGAAAAGUUUCUUCAUGCUGUCUAUUUCUAGGUAACUUGACAUGGCUCUUCUUUCCUCCUGCUAUAUUUACACCACAUACCGUUCUAGCCAGCUCCCCAGCCGCCUUCGAAAUGUCAUAGGUUCUUAUCACAUGGGGGUGGUUCACUUGAAUCCACUAUAUCCGUGGCCUUUGUAGCUGCAAUGACUUCAUAUAUUUUUUUCUUGCCUUUAGUCUGUUCUUUCUCUAUUGCAUCUUUCCACAUGCCACCAGAAUAACCUCUUUUAUAGACUUUCGUGAGUUCAGUCUCCUGUUCAAGAACCUAUAGAUGUUUGCUUGUAUUAGUCAACAUGUUCAAAUUCUACUAGGAGGCCUCAGAAUGGCUCCACAAACAAGUCUCCCUAACAGAACCACUUAUGAAAAAGAAGAGAAAUAGAAUUAAUGCAUUUUGGAAGAAGCAAAAUUAAAGUUGCUGUGGUGUUUUUGGAUGGGAAAUGUGUCCAGGUCAAGGGUAGAGAGAAUCAAUUCAAUGCAACCUUAAAACAAGGUAAUGGAAAAAUGAAAGUGAAUGUUCAUGGGGACAGACAUCUCUCUCUAAAACAGUCUAAAAGGAAAGGAGGGAUUUUAGUCCUAAGACUACAGUGGUCUUCGUCAUGUAGGAAGCAAGGUCAGCGGCAGCCAUAAGCUGAGCAGGGACGGAAAACUCUAGAAACACUUAGGCAGGGAUAUCUGCUCAUCCAUUCAUGCCGUAGAUGUACUGAGCAGCUACUUCUACAUAAAUUAACACUCCUUGGUGUUUCCCACUUUUCCCACAGGGCUUUUGCCUUUGAUUACAUAGCCCCGACCACCAGAGCACAGCUAUAUGGCCAAUCCGUCAGUCCGUUGUGAUCUUGUUGCACUCAUUGUCUGAGCCUAUCGGGAUCUUCUUGAAUCCCGACUCCAGUCACUCAGUGUUCUCCCUUCCAACUCUGGGUCACCCCUCGAGAAGCUCAUAAGUACGUGUUCUAUAUUUUCUAUUACAAACAUUUCUAAAGACGUGGAGCGGGGUAGGGCCACGACAUGCAGGAUACCACGUGAAGUCUCUCUCCCUAUUGAUGAGGAUUCCUUCCCAACCUCCCUUUGGGUGAGGUUCUCUUGCCGAGCGAUCCUGCCUCUCUUUACCUAUUCCAAGAGGAGAUCAUGAAAGAUCUCAUCAGGUAGUUUGCUGAGAUCCAAGUGCACCACGUUCACUCCAUCUCGCUUGUCAAGCUGACAAGUAAAUGAAUGACACUGGUGAGUAGAAGAAUAUAGUCAGAUUGACAAAACUUGCUUUUAACAACCAUAUGCCAAAUGGUGAUGAUUUCUCUUUCCAAGGGCCUACAAUCUCUUUAAUGGACAGUUAAGAGACUCUUGCCUAGUACUGACAGCAAGUUCACGGCUCUGCAUUUGGAAUUUUUCCUCUCUUUCCAUAGAGCAGAAUUACAUACGUCUGUUUCUAAGUUUCGGGUUUUUGUUUUUUUUAAGGAUUUAUUUAUUUUAGAGAGAGAGAGAGAGAGAGCAUGAGUAGGAAAAGCAGAGGAAGAGGGACAGAAACUCAAGCAGACUCCACACUGAGCGCAGAGCCUGAUGCAGGGCUUGAUCUUAGCACCCUGAGAUCACAACCUCAGCUGAAACCAAGAGUCAGACACUCAACCAACUGAGCAACCCAGGUGCCCCUGUUUCUAUGCAUCUGACGUCAAUUUUUCUUGGUCCUGCAGAGAUCAUCUCCCUCAGUCUGGAGAAAGAAUUUGCAAAUUUUCUCAGUAUCCUUUUCUUUCUUUCUUUACUUCUUCUUCUUCUUCUUCUUCUUUUUUUUUUU